CACUACCCCGGAUUGUGGCCAAGCUCCGACAACCCAAAACCCCAUUCAUUUUUCUCCUUUUUCCGGCUAAAUCCCACUAGCUCCGCCUUCAUUCCUCACAUUUUCCGACCACCACCCCAAACAGACCCCACCUUCCCCUGUUCUCCUCCUCACUGUUCCGACCAAAAACACAACCCCAAACCAACUAAAACCAUCGGAAAACGACCACUAGUGAGCUUCCACAACCGGAAUCAACUUCCAAAAAUUAACUCCGAACCACCAGAUCUCCACCCACCGCUAGACCUUUUCACUUUCUCCAUCUCCGACAAGCCUGCGAGCUUCAAGCUCCAAUGAAGAACAACUAACAUACCCAAAUAACUGCCAAAACGCCUCCAGACCGACCAGAAACAGCCAGCCAAACCACCUCACUGCCUUCUCUUUUCUCGAUCGAAACAUCUCCAAGCAGGAGCCAACAACGAACAACAACCAGAACCCCACUCCGUUCCCCGCAUUUUCCAGCGAAUACCAACCCAAAACGGACCUAUUUUGCUCUUCUUCUCCAACCAUUUUCCUCACCAACACCACUACAAAACUCCUCCAUUCUCCUUCUCAUUGACCAGUAAUCGCCGUCCGACAAACAAAUCUAAAAAACAUCACUAAACCUCCAUCUCAAACCAACAAAAGACCCACAAAGCGACCAACAGCUCCAAACGACUCCAUUUCCCCUAUUUUCCGCAACACUUCAACAAUAAUGGAGGCAGCGAGAUUCGAGCUCUGAUCUCCAUCUCCGGUGAGCUCCAAGCUUGCCAAACACCACUAUAGGCUCCACCGGAAACAACUUCGAUCGGUUUCACACGAGCUACGAGCUUCCAAGUUCCGGUAACAGAUGCAAACAACGCACCCUCAUUUCUACUAGAUCUGGCCGAGUUUUGCCGGCGAAUAGCAACCAAACAUGCCAACAACAACGAGCUCCGAACUAGUAACACAAAUCUCUCUUCUCCUUAUUUCUAUAUUAUGCCAUUGUUGUUAUUGUUGUUCAUAGAUCUUCUGGGUCUGUUUGACUCUGUCACUGUGACUCUUCUGUUUAAUUAAUUAUUUAUUGUUAUUGUUUAAAUAUUAUUAUCUAUCUCUUUUAUUCUUUGUUUGUUAUGAUUUUUAUUUAUAAUUUGCAAUGGGUUGGUAACGGAUAGCUUUAUUUGAGUUAAAUUUAUUCUAAAUGUUGCUUAAUACUAGUGUUGUUUUGCUAUUAUCCUUAACUGUUGUUGCUAUUUGGCAUUUUAAUUUCUAAAUAUGUUAUGUUUUGUGAAGUUUAUUUAGUUU
rnacentral:lncRNA from 1 species